GAUGAACGCUGGCGGCGUGCCUAAUACAUGCAAGUCGAACGAAACUUCUUUAUCACCGAGUGCUUGCACUCACCGAUACAGAGUUGAGUGGCGAACGGGUGAGUAACACGUGGGCAACCUGCCCAAAAGAGGGGGAUAACACUUGGAAACAGGUGCUAAUACCGCAUAACCAUAGUUACCGCAUGGUAACUAUGUAAAAGGUGGCUAUACUACCGCUUUUGGAUGGGCCCGCGGCGCAUUAGCUAGUUGGUAGGGUAAAGGCUUACCAAGGCAAUGAUGCGUAGCCGAAUUGAGAGGUUGAUCGGCCACAUUGGGACUGAGACACGGCCCAAACUCCUACGGGAGGCAGCAGUAGGGAAUCUUCCACAAUGGGCGAAAGCCUGAUGGAGCAACGCCGCGUGGGUGAAGAAGGUCUUCGGAUCGUAAAACCCUGUUGUUAGAGAAGAAAGUGCGUGAGAGUAACUGUUCACGUUUCGACGGUAUCUAACCGGAAAGCCACGGCUAACUACGUG
rnacentral:rRNA from 1 species